rnacentral:rRNA from 1 species
CCAAUAAGAUAUCCCAGCAUGCAUAUAGAAACACUUAUGAAGCUUAAAAAACUAAGCAGGGCUGAGUCUGGUCAGUAUCUGGAUGGGAGACCACAUGGGAACAUUAGCUUGCUGUUGGC